UUGAAAAAGUCGGUUAAAGAAAACUGAUUUCUUUAGAAUUCUGUAAAUCUUUCAACUAGAGUAAAGCCAGAGUCACAGACCGGUGUGUGUUCAGUUCAUGUGUGUUUAAGUAAAACACAUCUCACACAUCUAGUACUGGUCAGUGCUAACGAAAAGCAAAUUCAACAAUACAACAUCACACCAUGACUCUCAAAACAAAAGCACAUUAUUCCCUAACAUUUAUCAGUUUGCACCACCUUUAAACUCUUUACAUUAAUUAAUGUAUAAAUUAUUGUUUCAUUUGAUGCCCUCUUUAUUUAUUUGUAUUUAUUAUUAUUUCAUAUAUUUAUUUAUUUAUUUAUUUAUUUAUUUUUGUUUUGUCUUUUCCUCUUGUUUCUGGCUUAAUUUGUUCUUCCUUUUUCUUUGUUCCAUUUAAUAUGUUAAUCACAAUCAAUUGUGUGAUCUUUUCUCUGUAAAGUGUUGAAGGACCAAUAAAAAUAUAUUAUUCAUUCAUUUCUUUAUUGUUUACAUUUGUGUUGUGGUAGUUGUUUUUAUAACGUGUUAUUUGUGGUUAGAUUCAGUUCAUCAGUCAGUCAAAUUAUAGGUUCUAGUCUCUAAUUCAAGAGUCUGUGAAUGAGCUUUCAUUUUCCAUUUUCUAAUUAUGGUUAUGAUUUAAUGUUUUUUUCCUCUGAACUUUUCCUUUGUCUGGUCUUUGAAGAUCUCAUUCUUUACAGAUAGACAGUGUGUUCAGUCAGAUCGUGUGCGACGUGUUGAUUCCUGACUAAAUGUUCUGGAUGUGUUCAUAGUAUUCCUGGGAUCCGUUUAUUCCUUACAUGGAUUCAGUUACUGCAGAUCCACAUUCCACACAUUUAUUCACGUCUGAGGAAACCAGCGGUUCUUUAAUAUGCAAUAAACUAUUUGAAACAAUGACAAUAUGCAGUCAUCUUUCUAACCAUACCAUGCCUUUUUGUUCAUAUUUAUUUAGAUAUUUCAUCAGUUCAUUGUAUAUUUGUUAAAAUAAAAAAAAAAUAAAAAAAAGGCUAAAUGUUAUCUUUCCCUUUUCUAACAAUUGUAAUUAUUUUAAAAAUGUUCUUAAAUAAACAGCACAUAUUUUAUAUAUACAGACAUGGCAUUUGAGAAAUGUUGACCACAAGUAAACAUUUCUACUGGUUAUUCGCACAUUACUUUCAGUUGAAGGAAUGUCAGACUGUGUUUUGAAGUUCGAAAAUAAAAAUUAUGAAUCUGACUGUUGUUGUGAUGUCGUCGCCAUCUGGAGGAGCAAUUUUUCUUAUGACGUGUAAAACAUAUCCGCAUGUUCAUUUAAACCUCGAAUCUUCCUCUCUUUUUAUCCGUUUUAAAGUGAACAUCACGGUUCAAGUGUUCACUCGUUCCAUAAUCGUUCGUCACAUCGGGGCGCGUGUCAGUUGUGAGAACUUCAUAUGAACUACAUUUCCCAGGUGCACUUUCGAUGUUGAAAAAGCAUAUGACAUGAUGUGGAAAGAGGGUCUUCUGAUAAAACUAAAAAUGAUGAAUAUAGGAGGAAGAAUUUUCAAGUGGAUAAGGAUUUUAUGGGAAAUAGGACUAUUCAGUUCAACCAGAUAUUGGAAGAUCUCUUUUUGCAGAUGAUGGGGCAGUUUGGAAAAAGGGAAAGAACAUUCUGCAUAUAAAUAGAAAAAUACAAGAAGCAGUAAUAAAGGUAGAGAAAUGGGCGUAUGAAUGAGGAUUUAAAUUCUCAGUAGAAAAGACAAAUACAGUAGUUUUCACAAGGAAAAUAAUUCUCCCAGAAAUGAACCUGAAAAUGUAUGAAAGAACAUUGGACAGGGUGAAAGUUUUUAGAUUCUUAGGAAUCUUAUUUGAAACAUAAUUAACAUGGGCAGAUCAUAUAAAUAAAAUUAUUGGAAAGUGUCAGAAAGUAAUAAACAUCAUGAGGAGUUUAAGUGGCGUGGAAUGGGGUGCAAACUUCUCCUCAUUAAAAAUUGUAUAUGUGACAAUGAUUAGGUCUGUGAUUGAUUAUGGAAGUAUAGUAUAUGGGUCAGCAUCAAAACUUUAUUGGAAAAAAUAAAUAAGAUACAAGCUCAAGCUCUUAGGCAGUGCAGUGGAGCAGUAAAAACAGCAUCCAUAUCAGCUCUGCAAGUUCUGACAGGAGAGAUGCUACUAGAAAUAAGGAGGAAACAGCUAAUGAUUCAUUACUGGGUCAGUCUUAAAGGGCAUAAAGAGGAACAUCCUACAAAAAUGGUGAUACAAGAAAUCUGGGAACAUGAUAAAAGAAAUAUAUGCAAAAGACAUGGGGAUUAAUAGAGUCAAGAUGAGCCCAACAGUUGUAAUCCCAGAAACAGAUAAGACACCACAUAUAGACAUGCAUAUGUUGGAAAUAAAGAAAGCAGGAAGAGGGGAAAUAGAUUUACCAACAGAAUUUUCAAUUCAUGUCAGUGUUAAUUACCCCCAGUAUAUACAAAUAUUUACAGAUGGGUCAAAAGAUCCAGAGCAUCAGACAAUUGGAGCAGCAUUUAUAGUACCAAAAUGGAAAGAAAGUGGAAUAAAACGAAGUUCAAACUAUUUGGGAGUUUAUACAGUGGAAAUGCUGGCAAUAUUCAUGGCUUUACAGUGGGUAGAAGAACACAAACCAGAAUACAUUUUAGUAUGUUCUGACUCUGUUUCAGUCCUUAAGAGCCUGAGAACUUUCAAAUCCAGAAGACAAGAUAUUCUGUUUAGAAUUUUACAAGUACAUACAAAAAUAAUUCGAGAGGGUACAGUAAUUAGGUUUAUGUGGGUUCCGGCACAUGUGGGUAUAAAAGGAAAUGAGGAGGUGGAUAAAUUAGCAAAACAAGCAUUACAAAGAGAAUCAAUAGAAUUACAAGUUGCAUUAAGUAAGUCAGAAGUUAAAGCAGUAAUAUGGGGUAAAGCAAUAGAAGAAUGGCAAGGAAUGUGGAACAAUAAAACAAAGGGUAGAUUUCUUUACAGCAUAACCAAUAAAGUUAAUAAAAAAAUAGGAAAUAUAGGUAAGUCGAGGAAAGAGGAAGUUGUUUACAACAGAAUAAGGUUAGGACAUUCAAAUUUAAAUAAUACACUAAAAAUAAUAGGAAAACAUCCAGAUGGGUUGUGUGAAUACUGUCAGGUUGAGGAGAAUAUAUCACAUGUAAUUACUGAAUGCACUAAAUAUGAACAAGAAAGGACAAAUAUGAUGGAGGAGUUGAUGAAGAAUGGAAUUAAGGAGUGCAGUAUCAAGGAAUUAACAAAUAUGUAAAAUUGGAAAAACAGUAGAACUUUCUUUAAAUUCAUAAGAAAAACAGGAUUGAUAGGUAGAAUUUAAGCUCUGUUCCACACUCCGGAGCAAAAGGUGCCGGUAAGGCGCCAUUUACGUUGGAUGCCACCCGCCGUUAAAAAAAAAAAAAAAAAAAAAAAAAAAAAAACAGGAAGAAGAAGAAGAAGAAGAAGAAGGCGUGCUUUCGCAGGAGUUCGGCGGAAGUGGGCGGAGCUUCCAUUGGCUCUGACAGAUAGCCACUUUCAGGAAGUGCUCGAGGAGGAGCCUGUGACCCGCAUCAGCAUCAGUGGACGCAUGACCAGCACGCGUUCAGUCGCUGAAAUCAGUUUCUGGCAGACGUGUGUGGCCGCUGAGCAGGAAGAGACAAGUGAAAGUCACACAGGAAGAGAGAAAAGAGAGUGAAACGCAGGAAGUGC